GUGCUUGCUUUGGUAGUACAUAUACUAAUAUCGGAACAAUACAGAGAAGAUUAACAUGGCCCCUGCACAAGAAUGAUAUGCAAAUUUGUGAAGAAUUUCAUAUUUGG
ensembl:snRNA U6 U6 spliceosomal RNA